AGUGAACGCUGGCGGCAGGCCUAACACAUGCAAGUCGAGCGGCAGCGCGUCCGACCACCCUCGGGUGGUCGGAUGGCGGCGAGCGGCGGACGGGUGAGGAAUGCAUCGGAAUCUGCCUCGUUGUGGGGGAUAACGUAGGGAAACUUACGCUAAUACCGCAUACGACCUACGGGUGAAAGUGGGGGACCUUCGGGCCUCACGCGAUGAGAUGAGCCGAUGCCGGAUUAGCUAGUUGGCGGGGUAAAGGCCCACCAAGGCGACGAUCCGUAGCUGGUCUGAGAGGAUGAUCAGCCACACUGGGACUGAGACACGGCCCAGACUCCUACGGGAGGCAGCAGUGGGGAAUAUUGGACAAUGGGCGCAAGCCUGAUCCAGCAAUGCCGCGUGUGUGAAGAAGGCCUGCGGGUUGUAAAGCACUUUCAGUGGGGAAGAACAGAUUCGGGUCAAUACCCCGGAGCCCUGACGUUACCCACAGAAGAAGCACCGGCUAACU
rnacentral:rRNA from 1 species